rnacentral:rRNA from 1 species
GCGGGCGUAGCAAUACGUCAGCGGCAGACGGGUGAGUAACGCGUGGGAACGUACCUUUUGGUUCGGAACAACACAGGGAAACUUGUGCUAAUACCGGAUAAGCCCUUACGGGGAAAGAUUUAUCGCCGAAAGAUCGGCCCGCGUCUGAUUAGCUAGUUGGUGAGGUAACGGCUCACCAAGGCGACGAUCAGUAGCUGGUCUGAGAGGAUGAUCAGCCACAUUGGGACUGAGACACGGCCCAAACUCCUACGGGAGGCAGCAGUGGGGAAUAUUGGACAAUGGACGCAAGCCUGAUCCAGCCAUGCCGCGUGAGUGAUGAAGGCCCUAGGG